GGGCACUCUGGGGAGACUGCCAGGGAUAACCUGGAGGAAGGUGGGGAUGACGUCAAAUCAUCAUGCCCCUUAUGAUUUGGGCUACACACGUGCUACAAUGGCGUAAACAAAGGGAAGCAGCCCCGCGAGGGUGAGCAAAUCUCAAAAAUAACGUCCCAGUUCGGAUUGUAGUCUGCAACUCGACUACAUGAAGCUGGAAUCGCUAGUAAUCGCAGGUCAGCAUACUGCGGUGAAUACGUUCCCGGGUCUUGUACACACCGCCCGUCACACCAUGGGAGUCAGUAACGCCCGAA
rnacentral:rRNA from 1 species